rnacentral:rRNA from 1 species
CCUACGGGUGGCAGCAGUCGAGAAUCAUUCACAAUGGGGGAAACCCUGAUGGUGCGACGCCGCGUGGGGGAAUGAAGGUCUUCGGAUUGUAAACCCCUGUCAUGUGGGAGCAAAUUAAAAAGAUAGUACCACAAGAGGAAGAGACGGCUAACUCUGGGACAGCAGGCGCGGUAAUACAGAGGUCGCAAGCGUUGUUCGGAAUCACGGGGCGUAAAGCGUGCGUAGGCGGUUUCGUAAGUCGUGUGUGAAAGGCGCGGGCUCAACCCGAGGACGGCACAUGAUACUGGGAGACUAGAGUAAUGGAGGGGGAAGCGGAAUUCUAGGUGUAGGAGUGAAAUGCGUAGAUAUCGGGAGGAACACUAGUGGCGAAGGCGGGUUCCUGGACAUUAACUGACGCUGAGGAACGAAGGCCAGGGGAGCGAAAGGGAUUAGAUACCCGAGUAGUC